rnacentral:lncRNA from 13 species
CAGAAACCCUGUAGAGGACAGAAACCCAGGACGAUUACAUGGAAAAAGAAAGAAAAAAUACCUGGCCACCAUCACCCCAUCAACCAGCCCAAGUCAACUUAGAACCAGGAGGGACUUCUUCCUGUGGAGAAAAGCCAUUCGUUUGUCACAGUAGCACUUCCUGGGAGAGUGUCAAUGACCAGAUACCAAAUGGAUAAAGCCCACCUGGGAAUAAAGGAGACACAGAGUAAAUUAAUGACA